GAUGAAGAACGUAGCGAAAUGCGAUAAUUAAUGUGAAUUGCAGAAUUCCGUGAAUCAUCGAGUCUUUGAACGCACAUUGCGCCCCUCGGUAUUCCGUGGGGCAUGCCUGUUCGAGCGUCAUUUAACCCCUCAAGCCUAGCUUGGUAUUGGGUGCUUGUCCCGCCUCUCGCGCGGCGACUCACCUCAAAGUCAUUGGCAGCCCGCAUCUCGCCGGCCGUGAGCGCAGCACAGACGCGCUCUUGGCAACGACGGAUCGGCUCUCCAAAAGCUUAUUUCAACCACUGACCUCGGAUCAGGUAGGGAUACCCGCUGAACUUAAGCAUAUCAAUAAGCGGAGGA
rnacentral:misc_RNA from 1 species